rnacentral:lncRNA from 1 species
AGAUGAAAACUGGAGACAAAAUGCAUGAGACCAACAUUGUAGAGAAAGACUUUUUUCCAACUGAACUGAGUGUAAAUCCAGAUAUUUCUUGCAAGUGCAUCAACCAGUGGCCAAUCUGAAAUUUGGGCAAUGUUCCAUUGUGAAGAGUUUAUGUUUCAUGUCUUUGGUACCUUAAUUGGGCCUCCAGCCAGAAAUUUGUGACUGUAAUUUCCUCACUCUACUAUGGACUUCUCAAUGGUGGCUGCAUCUGUAAGACAGUGAAGCAGGAGGAAAGAGAGCAAGGAGGAAAGAAAAAGCAAAGGGUUUGGUCCACCUUCUUAGAAUCACAGCUGUAUCAAAUGGAGAGGAUGGUUCACCUCCCUCAGGAUUUCAGCUAUUAGGUGUCAUAGUUGCCACAGCCCUGCCAUCUUGAGAUUGCCUGAGGUCUGAGGCAUACCAGAAGAGAAUGGAGUAUUUUCAUAUUCUCCCUCUGUGUUAGGAGCUCAUUUUCCUACUCAAACCAGAGCUAGACUGCCUCUCCUGGAGCUCUCUCUGUCUCUGCCCUAAGGGAUGCUCAAUGCAGGUUUCUAGGUAUGUUGUAUUCUGGGUACCGAUACUGCAGGUUGGAGGAGAUGUAAAUUCAACACUGGUUGAUUUGGUGGUAACUUGAAUUCUGGUGUUCUCAAUAUGAUUCCUUCUACUAGAUAGUUUUUCUUUUAUUUAUUUGCUUUUUAGGCCCACACCUGAGGCAUAUAUAAGUUCCCAAGCUAGGGGUGAAAUCAGAGCUACUGCUGCCAGCCUAUGCCACAGCCAUAGCAACUUGGAAUAUGAGCCACAUCUGCGAUCUACACCACAGCUCACGGCAAUACCAGAUUCCCGGCCAACUGGGUGAGGCCAGGGAUCGAACCUGCAUCCUAAUGGAUACUGGUCAGACUCAUUUCCACUGUACCACAAUGGUAGCUCCUACUAGAUAGUUUUUAGAGUCUUUAAGUAGCUGUUGGAUGCAUUCUGUCCAGAUUUGAUAUUUACAUUUAGUCGGGGAGACACUAUGUGGUGUGCUAAUUCCACUUACAUUGAACCAUAAUCACCCAUUUGUUGGGUGUUUGUUGAAUACUUUCUAUUCAUAGGCACUGACCUAGAUUCUGGUGGUACAAUGGCAAGCAAAAAGACAAGGCUCUGUCCCAGAUGAAGCGUACCAUUAAAUGACAAAAGAUUUUUAUUUAUCAUCCUUCCUUUUUUAACACAACUUUUUUUGCCUUUGGCCUUUUUCAAAUCAGUGCCCACCUCCCAAUAAGGUUUUUUGAUUGGUCUAUCCUCUUCUACUCAGAAAUACUCAUGGAUAUCUAAAUUUUAUAGUUUAGACCUAACCUGAGACUUCUAUUCUGUUCUGUAAGGUAUAUAAAUUUAUCAUCACGACGGUAUAUAAAUUUAUCAUCACGACCUAACAGAGAAAACUACCUUCUAAAAGACUUCAAAGACUUCAGAUGUCCGGUAGGAAAUAAGAGGCAUAGAAAUCAUUGCUCCCAUCUAUACAGGAAAAAAAAAAGCUGAAAAAACUAAAAAUCAACAUUAUCUCCUUAAAUCAAUCAGAGAAUCAGAGAGCUGUGGUUACAUGGAAAACAACUGCCCUCAUGGGAAUUCCUGUCAUGGCUCAGUGGUUAAUGAAUCCGACUAGGAACCAUAACAUUGCAAGUUCAGUCCUUAGCCUUGCUCAGUGGGUUAAGGAUCUGGCAUUGUCAUGAGCUGUGGUGUAGGUCACAGACGCUGCUCAGAUCCCACAUUGCUGUGGCUCUGGCGUAGGCUGGUGGCUACAACUCUGAUUAGACCCCUAGCCUGGGAACCUCCAUAUGCUGUGGUGCAGCCCUAGAAAAGACAAAAAACAAAAAACAAAAACAAAAACAAAACCCCAAAAAACACAACUGCCCUCAUGAAGUGAGAUACUGCUGGAUACAGAGACCACACUUACUGGAGCAGAAGACCAGGAAUAGGAAACUCCACAGGAUUCAGUACAGGUUCCUUUUACCCAGUAUAUCUUCUCUGGCUUUGUGUUCUGACACCAAUUGGGUGUCUUACAAUUCACUUCAACUCUGACACUAGCUAGUUGUAAGUCGCAUCAGAUUCCACAAAUUAAAGAGCAAGGUCCUCAAUAAGACUGCCUUUACUUCAGACGCCACCCAUCAGUGAGUUCUCCAGGCUACUCACACUUCUGCCUGGCUGACUACAAAUUGGAGCUUUCCCACAACCCCCUAGGGCUGCACCCAUGGCAUACGGAGGUUCCCAGACUAGGGGUUGAAUCAGAGCUGCAGCUGCCGACCUCUGCCACAGCCACAGCAAUGUCAAAUCCAAGCCACAUCUGUGACCUACACCACAGCUCAUGGCAACGUUGGAUCCUUAACCCACUGAGCAAAGCCAAGGAUCAAAGCUGUGUCCUCAUGGAUACUAGUUGGAUUUGUUUCCACUGAGCCACAAUGGGAACUCUGGAUUUUUCACCAUAAGAAGAGAGAAACCCAGCAGUUGCUACAUUCUGCUGAAUGGCAUCUAUAAUUACCUUAACAUUCACAGCAGGACAAUGAUCAGAGAGUAAGCCAAUGCCUUCUGUGACUUGUAAGAACUGUGAAAAUAGGGAUUUUAAAAUUAGAGGUGGAAAGAAUUUUAAAGCUCUAUAAAGUUAAUAACUAUAAAGUUAAUAACUCCACUUCAAAAUAUAUCAAGCAAGAGUGAUGUCAGAGAAGACGGCAGAGUAGAAAGCUCCUGGAAUCUCUACCUCCACUUAAACAACUAUUGAACUGACAGAAACUCUCUAAAGUAAAUAAUUUGAUACUCUGGAGUCUAGUUGAAAAGUUGAUCUCAGUGAGCUUUAGCUUUCCUAUUCAGCAGUGGCUACCAUCUUCACACCUCAUUAUAGUAGGGAGCCAAGGGACUGCUGUCUGUGUUCUUAAUGUAGCUUUCUAGAGCCAAGGUUAGCAUUGAGGACAUGGUUCUCCAAAUAUUGAGGUUACGUGUUAUUUCUGAUUGCUACUUUCAUUGAUAAGUGCUCAAUAGCAUAUUUGAACAGGAAGCAGAAAGGAUCAGAAAAUCCAAAGAUAGGAUAGUUGAAAGUAUUUAGUAUAAGGAACAAAAAGGAAAAAAAAA